rnacentral:rRNA from 1 species
AUGAACGCUGGCGGCGUGCUUAACACAUGCAAGUCGAACGAAGCACUCAUGACAGAUUCUUCGGAUGAUGGAUUGAUUGACUGAGUGGCGGACGGGUGAGUAACGCGUGGGUAACCUGCCUCAUACAGGGGGAUAACAGUUAGAAAUGACUGCUAAUACCGCAUAAGCGCACAGUACCGCAUGGUACGGUGUGAAAAACUCCGGUGGUAUGAGAUGGACCCGCGUCUGAUUAGCUAGUUGGUGGGGUAACGGCCUACCAAGGCGACGAUCAGUAGCCGGCCUGAGAGGGUGAACGGCCACAUUGGGACUGAGACACGGCCCAAACUCCUACGGGAGGCAGCAGUGGGGAAUAUUGCACAAUGGGGGAAACCCUGAUGCAGCGACGCCGCGUGAGCGAUGAAGUAUUUCGGUAUGUAAAGCUCUAUCAGCAGGGAAGAAAAUGACGGUACCUGACUAAGAAGCACCGGCUAAAUACGUG